UUCUGGCUCAGGAUGAACGCUGGCGGCGUGCCUAACACAUGCAAGUCGAACGGAGUUACUAGAGCUUGCUUGGUAACUUAGUGGCGGACGGGUGAGUAAUGUAUGAGCAACCUGCCUUUCAGAGGGGGACAACAGUUGGAAACGACUGCUAAUACCGCAUAACGUGCGGAGGGGGCAUCCCUUUCGUACCAAAGGAGCAAUCCACUGAAAGAUGGGCUCAUAUCUGAUUAGUUAGUUGGCAGGGUAACGGCCUACCAAGACUGCGAUCAGUAGCCGGACUGAGAGGUUGAACGGCCACAUUGGGACUGAGAUACGGCCCAGACUCCUACGGGAGGCAGCAGUGGGGAAUAUUGGGCAAUGGGCGAAAGCCCUGACCCAGCAACGCCGCGUGAAGGAAGAAGGUCUUCGGAUUGUAAACUUCUUUUAUGAGGGACGAAGGACGUGACGGUACCUCAUGAAUAAGCCACGGCUAACUACGUGCCAGCAGCGGC
rnacentral:rRNA from 1 species